AUUGAACGCUGGCGGCAUGCUUUACACAUGCAAGUCGAGCGGCAGCGCGGGACUCGGGCAACUGAGCCCUGGCGGCGAGCGGCGAACGGGUGAGUAACACAUCGGAACGUAUCCCGUAGA
rnacentral:rRNA from 1 species